rnacentral:rRNA from 1 species
AUUGAACGCUGGCGGCAUGCCUUACACAUGCAAGUCGAACGGUAACAGGUCUUCGGAUGCUGACGAGUGGCGAACGGGUGAGUAAUACAUCGGAACGUGCCUAGUAGUGGGGGAUAACUACUCGAAAGAGUGGCUAAUACCGCAUGAGAUCUACGGAUGAAAGCAGGGGAUCGCAAGACCUUGUGCUACUAGAGCGGCCGAUGGCAGAUUAGGUAGUUGGUGGGAUAAAAGCUUACCAAGCCGACGAGCUGUAGCUGGUCUGAGAGGACGAUCAGCCACACUGAGACGGAGACACGGCCCAGACUCCUAAGGGAGGCAGCAGUGGUGAAUUUUGGACAAUGGGCGCAAGCCUGAUCCAGCAAUGCCGCGUGCAGGAUGAAGGCCUUCGGGUUGUAAACUGCUUUUGUACGGAACGAAAAGCCCUGGGUUAAUACCCUGGGGUCAUGACGGUACCGUAAGAAUAAGCACCGGCUAACUACGUGCCAGCCGCCGCCGUAAAAC